UACGUAGGGUGCGAGCGUUGCCCGGAUUUAUUGGGCGUAAAGGGCGCGUAGGCGGCCACGCACGUCCGUUGUGAAAUCGCCCGGCUCAACUGGGCGGGUCAGCGGAUACGGUGUGGCUCGAGCAAGCUAGGGGCAAUGGAAUUCCCGGUGUAGUGGUGGAAUGCGUAGAUAUCGGGAGGAACACCAGUGGCGAAGGCGGUUGCCUGGAGCUUUGCUGACGCUGAGGAGCGAAAGCGUGGGGAGCGAACAGG
rnacentral:rRNA from 1 species